rnacentral:rRNA from 1 species
UACGUAGGGACCAAGCGUUGUUCGGAUUUACUGGGCGUAAAGGGCGCGUAGGCGGCAAUUCAAGUCAGUUGUGAAAUCUCCGAGCUUAACUCGGAACGGUCAACUGAUACUGCUUUGCUAGAGUACAGAAGGGGCAAUCGGAAUUCUUGGUGUAGCGGUGAAAUGCGUAGAUAUCAAGAGGAACACCUGAGGUGAAGACGGGUUGCUGGGCUGACACUGACGCUGAUGCGCGAAAGCCAGGGUAGCAAACGGG